rnacentral:tRNA from 1 species
GCCGAGAUCGCAUAACCUGGUAUUGCACCGGACUGCUAAUCCGGGCCCUCUAUGGGCGUCUGGGUUCAAAUCCCAGUCUCGGCG